GCCGAAGUGGCGGAAUUGGCAGACGCAGGGGAUUCAAAAUCCCCCGGCUUCGGUCGUGUGGGUUCAAGUCCCACCUUCGGUA
rnacentral:tRNA from 1 species